rnacentral:rRNA from 1 species
UACGAAGGGGGCUAGCGUUGCUCGGAAUCACUGGGCGUAAAGGGUGCGUAGGCGGGGUUUUAAGUCAGGGGUGAAAUCCUGGAGCUCAACUCCAGAACUGCCUUUGAUACUGAAGAUCUUGAGUCCGGGAGAGGUGAGUGGAACUGCGAGUGUAGAGGUGAAAUUCGUAGAUAUUCGCAAGAACACCAGUGGCGAAGGCGGCUCACUGGCCCGGUACUGACGCUGAGGUGCGAAAGCGUGGGGAGCAAACAGG